UGAGUAACCUGCCCCAGACUCUGGGAUAAGCACUGGAAAUGGUGUCUAAUACCGGAUACGAACCGCACAGGCAUCUGAGCGGUUGGAAAGAACUUCGGUCAAGGAUGGGCUCGCGGCCUAUCAGCUUGUUGGUGAGGUAACGGCCCACAAGGCGACGACGGGUAGCCGGCCUGAGAGGGCGACCGGCCACACUGGGACUGAGACACGGCCCAGACUCCUACGGGAGCAG
rnacentral:rRNA from 1 species